rnacentral:rRNA from 1 species
GACGGAGGAUGCAAGCGUUAUCCGGAAUGAUUGGGCGUAAAGCGUCCGCAGGUGGCAGUUCAAGUCUGCUGUCAAAGACCGGGGCUUAACUUCGGAAAGGCAGUGGAAACUGAACAGCUAGAGUAUGGUAGGGGCAGAGGGAAUUCCCGGUGUAGCGGUGAAAUGCGUAGAGAUCGGGAAGAACAUCGGUGGCGAAAGCGCUCUACUGGACCGCAACUGACACUCAGGGACGAAAGCUAGGGGAGCGAACAGG